rnacentral:misc_RNA from 1 species
AAAUGAAGUCGAUGCCGCGAUGCGCCGAUAGAGAGGCACCUGCCUCCUCGCCCAAUCCCGGAACGAUAUUGACCACGCCUUCCGGAAAACCGGCCUCGGCCGCGAGUUCUCCAAGCUUGAGAGGAACGAGACACGCUUCUUCGGCGGGUUUAAUGACCGUCGCGUUGCCCACCGCCAGCGCCGGCGCAAGCGUGCGGCCCAUCAUCUGCGCAGGAUAAUUCCAGGGAAUGAUGUGGCCUGUGACGCCCAGCGGUUCCCACACAGUCGAAACGUGAUAGC